rnacentral:lncRNA from 1 species
GGCACUAACUUGCUGGUAAUCUCAACUAACUCUGGCCCUGCAAGAGCCUUCUCUCCUACCUCUUCCCAGCAAACAGGUGUUCUGCACUUCCUCCCAUACAAAGCUUCAUAAGGAGCCAUCCCUAUGCUAGCAUGAUGGCUGUUGUUGUAGGCAAACUCCACCAGAGGUAGAUGCUGCCUCCAAGAACCGCCAAAGUCUAACACACACAUUCUCAGCAUAUCUUCUAUGGUUUGGAUGGUCCUCUCUGACUGACCGUCUGUCUGUGGAUGGAAAGCAGUGCUGAAAUCCAAUCUUGUGCCCAUAGCAGCUUGCAGACUCCGCCAAAACCUGGAGGUGAACUGAGGUCCUCUAUAUGAUACUAUCGACACUGGAACUCCAUGCAACUUGACUAUCUCUUCUACAUAGACCGGCGCCAACUUGUCCACAGAAUAGUUGCUCCUGACUGGAAUGAAGUGAGCAGAUUUCGUUAGUCUGUCCACAAUCACCCAUAUGGAGUCUAGCCUGUUGGACGUCACCGGUAACCCCACUACAAAAUCCAUAGCGAUGUUCUCCCAUUUCCAUUCUGGAAUCGGCAGUGGGUUAAGCAUUCCAGCCGGCUUCUGGUGUUCUAGCUUCACCCUUUGACAGGUCUCGUAGGCUGACACAAACUGUGCCACUUCCCUCUUCAUCACUGGCCACCAAUACACCAUUCUCAGAUCUUGAUACAUCUUGGUGGCUCCAGAGUGAACGCUAUACCUCGCAUUAUGAGCUUCCCUCAUAAUGUCUUCCUUCAAACUGCUAUCAUCUGGUACACAUACUCUCUUACCGUGCCAAAGAAUCCCCUCACUGUCAAAUCUGAACUCUGCACUGUUGCCUGACUGAACAGUCCUGGCAAUCUUCACUAACUCAGGGUCUUCGUGCUGUUUCAGAGCCACUUGCUCUAGAAACACUGGUGUAACUCUCAUCUGUGCAAUCAAAGCACCUGUACCAGAUAACUGCAACUGCAGCCCUUCAUCCAUGAGUCUGUAAAAGUCCUUCACCACCGGUCUUCUCUCUACUGAAAUGUGGGAUAAACUGCCAAGUGACUUCCGGCUUAAGGCAUCAGCUACAACAUUAGCCUUACCCGGAUGAUACUGGAUCUUGCAAUCGUAAUCACUGAGCAAUUCUACCCACCGUCUCUACCUCAAGUUUAACUCUCUCUGACUCAAGAUGUGCUGCAGGCUCUUAUGAUCCGUAUAGAUCUCACACUUUACCCCAUAGAGGUAAUGCCUCCACAUCUUAAGUGCAAAGAUAACAGCUGCCAUCUUAAGAUCAUGUGUCAGGUAAUUUAGCUCGUGCUUCUUCAGCUGUCUAGAAGCAUAAGCUAUCACUCUGUCAUUCUGCAUUAACACACAACCUAAUCCCACUCGGGAUGCAUCACAGAACACUGUGAAAUCUUCAUCACUGAUCGGCAGAGCUAACACCGGUGCUGAAGUCAACCGUCUCUUCAACUCUUCAAAACUCUCAUCACAAUCCUCUGACCAUACGAACUUCUGAUUCUUCCUGGUCAGUCUGGUCAUAGGAGCAGCUAUCUUCGAAAAGUCCUGAACGAACCUCCGAUAGUAGCCUGCCAAACCCAGAAAACUCUUAAUCUCUGUCACUGUCGUGGGUGUAGGCCAAUUGGCUACUGCCUCUACCUUCUUGGGAUCUACUGCUAUUCCUUUCUCUGAUACUACAUGUCCCAAAAAGGAAAUGCUCCAGAGCCAGAACUCACACUUGGAGAACUUGGCAUACAAGCCAUGCUCUCUCAAGGUUUGCAACACUAUCCUCAGAUGCUGGGCAUGCUCCUCUGCAUUCCUGGAGUACACCAAGAUAUCAUCUAUAAAGACGAUCACAAAACGAUCCAAGUACUCCCUGAAAACCCUGUUCAUGAGAUCCAUGAAUGCUGCAGGGGCAGUAGUCAACCCGAACGACAUCACUAGGAACUCAUAAUGCCCAUAUCUGGUCCUGAAAGCAGUCGUGGAUACAUCUCCUUCCUUGAUCUUCAACUGGUGGUAUCCAGAUCUCAGAUCUAUCUUAGAAAAACAACCUGCUCCUGCCAGCUGGUCGAAUAGAUCAUCGAUCCUGGGUAAAGGAUACUUGUUCUUGAUAGUGACUUUGUUCAACUGUCUGUAGUCGACACAAAGUCUAAGAGGUCCAUCCUUCUUUCUGACAAAUAAGACUGGAGCACCCCAGGGUGAGGUACUCGGGCGGAUGAAACCCUUAGCUACCAAAUCCUGUAACUGCUCUUUCAACUCUUUCAGCUCUGCUGGUGCCAUCCUGUAGGGAGGAAUAGAGAUCGGUCUGGUACCGGGCAUCAACUCUAUCUUGAACUCUAUGUCCCUAUCAGGUGGUAGUCCUGGAAGCUCUUCAGGAAACACAUCUGGGAAUUCUCUAACAACUGGUACUGAGGACGGUUCCCUAACCGGACUAUCUAGCUCUCUCACAUAAGCUAGGAACCCCUGACACCCUUUCCUCAACAUCCUACGAGCCUGAAGGGCUGAGAUCAAACCCCUAGGUGUCCCUCUCCUGUCUCCUCUGAAGACACACUCUGAACCAUCCUGGUCUCUGAGACGCACUACCUUGUCCCUACAGUGCAAGGUAGCACUAUAGGUAGAUAACCAAUCCAUCCCUAGAAUGACAUCAAAAUCUGUCAACUCUAGAACCACAAGGUCAGCUGGAAGGCAUCUAUCCUCUAUAAACACUGGACUGAGCUGACAGACUGACUCUGCCAAUGAUGGGUCACAUCUAGGUCCACUGACCCAGAGAGGACACGCUAACUCGGAUACGAUCAACCCCAAUCUCUCUGCGGCUCUAGAAGAAAUGAAAGAGUGAGAAGCACCGGGGUCCAUCAAAGUAUACAUCUCUGAAAGCCCAAUGAUGAGAUUACCUAACACCACUGUGUUCGAAGUGUUUGCCUCCUGUUGUGUCAUGGUGAAAAUCCGUGCUGGAGCUGACGGACCUGCACCUCGGGAACCCAUCCCUGAAGAAGAGGCUGCCCCUCUCCCUCUACCUCUGCCACUGCUUGGUGGUCGGGCUGAAGCUGCUGACUGUACGACACUACCUGAGGUCAUCUGCUGGGAUGGUGUAACCAAAGUCGCCUGAGGACAUUCUCGUGCAUAAUGUCCCUCCUGCCCACAUCUAUAGCAGGCUGUAGAUCCCAACAAACAAGCUCUUCUGUGCGGUCUCCCACACGUAUUGCAAAUUGGAAGAUCUGUGCCAGAGCUGGAGCCGCUACUCAUUCCCAGACCCGUCUUAAUCCUGUUCCAGAACUUGCCUCUCUUUCCUCUGAGUUUAUCCCAUCUCUUCUUGCUCGCACUUGCCGUACUCUGCGAGGAGGAACCUGGUUUAGCACCAGAAGACUGUGCCUUGAUUGCUUGACUACUCCCUGACUUAUGGCACUGGCCUCCAUUUUUCUAGCAGCAUCCACAAUGGAGUGGAAACUCUCCUUCUCCGCGUGGAGAAUCAAAGAGAAAUACAUGGGAUGGAGCCUCGUGGCAUAUCUAUUUGCCUUCUUCUGAUCCGUAUCAUAUGCCUGACCCACAUAUGGUAACAAUUCCAAGAACUUAUCUGUAUACUCAUCAACACUCAUCUCCUCCGUCUGUCUCAACUGUUCAAACUCCACAACCUUUAGCUCCCUGGAACUGUCAAGGAAAGCCCACCCAGCAAAUUCAUUGGCGAACUCUUCCCUUGUCAUACUGUCGAUUCUGGGGUCCACAUAGUUUUUGAACCAUUCUCUGGCUUUCUUGCAUUUUAAUGUGAACCCUGCCAUCUCAAUGGCCCUGCUCUCAUCUGCUCCCAACUCACUUGUGAUCAUUCUGACUGCACUGAGACACUCAAAGGGAUCAUCUCCCGUGUUGAAUUUAGGAGCAUCCAACUUUAAGUACUCCGUCAUCUUCACCUUAUUUCCCCCUGAAGAACUGGGUUGUGCUUCAACAACAGGGGCUACUGGUUCAGAUGGUGGUGGACGUACUGUUUCUCUGGAUUCAGGCGAUGCUGAACUUGAAUAAAAAGGUGGGGGUGGAUACAUGUGAUAUGGUGGAUAAAAGGAAGGGUAGGGCAUAUAUGGCAUGUAGGGUGGAUAUGGGGCAAAGCUGGAGUAAUCCGACGUGCCUCCCAUCGGAUCCCUUGGGCCCUGUGGAAACAGUGGAUAGCCAAACCCCGAGGCCUGCGCGCCUCCCUGGGACUCCCCCAUACCUUCUUCUGACCUUCCUAUACCCAUACUUACAUCUCUACUCUGAUCUUCCUCCAUAGCAACUCUCUUUUCUUCUGAUCUUCCCCCUCUGCCUAUUCCUCUUCUGCUCUCCUCAGAAGACCUUCUAGGGUCUCUUGACGUUCCCUCCCUGCUUGACCUGUGAGUCCUUGCCCUUGGCAAUGCAGGAGGACGAGCAGCUGUACCCUCACUUUCAGGUGGGACUCCAUUCAAUCUCGCGGAUCGACGAGUUCCUCGCAUCUUAACUCUCUCUGGAAAACAACACAUCACAGAGCACAUAAGCAACACAUAUAGGAAAACAACACAUGCAUCAUGGCAUUGCACAUCAUCAGAGAGACAGGACGAACAUCCUAUCCUAGUGGACAUGAUUUCCUAUUGUGCUUGACCCACUAAACCUCUAUGAGCCCAACUCUAUCUCUAUAGGUCCGACCAUAUGAACCUAGGGCUCUGAUACCAAUCUGUAACAGCCCGGAAACCGAACUGCUACUGGCACUAGGAUCCAGAUCGACUUAAGGUCGCCAGGACCCUUAGUAAGCCUGCUAUACUGUCUGUGUACCUGUGAAAUCCCAUACAUGAUCAUACAUUUUCUGAAAAACCAUUAAAACUUUUCUUUCCUCCAGGGCUUAACGUGUGCAUGCACUCUUUCUGGUCUAUCAACUCAUAAUGUUAAGCCUGGUUUUCUCAUAUUCAUUAACAAUAAAAGAAACAUACAUAAACUGAUCAUGUGUCUACAACAAGGGAUUACAACUCUUAUAAGUCAAGCACAAAGCUACACACUAUACAUUAUCUCUUUACAUGAACAUGUCCACACUAGCUAUUACAUAACUCUGCUUCUUGCACACCCUGCUGGACUCCCUCUGGACUCUGAACCUGCAAACCUGGGGGAUAGGGGAGAGGGAUGAGCUAUACAAGCCCAAUGAGCAGAACUAUAAACCAUAAGUUGAAAACAUGAUCUCAUGGAAUGCAUAACAGCACAUCAUCUAAGGAUAGACAUGACCACCAAAAAUCCCACUGAAAGGAUGCCUGGCCUAGCCAGGUCUUACAACCUCAAUCUGCCUGGCCCGGCCAGGUCUUACAACUCUGCCUGCCUGGCCCAGCCAGGUCUUACUAUCUCUGAUGCCUGCUCUAGUAAGGUCUUACCUACAGAUGGCUGCCUGGCCUGGCCAGGUCUUAUAACAGAGCUUGGGCUAUUGGAGUCGCCUUGGUCUAUCCACAGCCUCAUACACAUCGUAUUAUGCAAUGCGUCAUCUUUGUGAAACUAAUGCAAGCAUCCUACUAUAAUCUUAUGAUGCAUGACAUAUGCUCAAAGCAGUUUAGUUCUGAAAAGAGAAGUUCCACUCACCUCUGGCUGACUCUGUACUAACUCUGCAGGUUCUGAAACAGUGUUCACUGCUGCUCUCUGGGGUUCCUCUGGUCCGUUCCUACACAGGUGGACUCAAAUGAGGGACCAAACUAACUCAAGAACAUCUCUAAGAAACUCCCCAAAAACCCUCUACAAGAUCCCCAAACAAUCACAUAAAACAUGCAAAAGAAAGCUGGACAGGGCACGUUCGGCGGCCGAAACCCCUCUCCAGAGACGAAACUCAUGCAUGUUCGGCGGCCGAAACCCCUCUCCAGAGACGAAACUCAUGCAUGUUCGGCGGCACCUUCGGCGGCCGAAGGUCUCGUCCAAAGACGAAACUCACACACAUUUGGAGGCCGAACUUCCCUCUUUCGGCGGCCGAAAGUCCCUUUCUAAACCGAACGCCUCGCUUUCGGGGGCAAGCUUUGGCAGCCGAAACUGCCUCCACAAGGGGUUCGGCGGCCGAACCUUCCUUCGGCGGCCGAACCUGGUUUUGCCCGCUGGGCAGAACCCUGCUCUGUUUCAUGCAAUCCUUUCCUCCAAACUUACCCAACAUGCAUAUCAACUACUCCCAACUAGCACAUACCAUAAACUAGGCAUAAAAAGGCCUAAAACUCACUUAUAAUCUCAAGAAACAUAUCAAACAACACUUAAACAUGUUGAAACACAAAAUCAUGCAAAACCUCAACCAAAACCCUAUGCAUGCAUACUAUCCAUACAACUCCCAUAAAACCUUCAAAAAUCAGUAAAAGAGGUUCUGGAUCUUGACUUACCUCUUCCAAACAAGAGAUCAAGUGAUCCUAACGUGGAGAUAUGGAGAAAUCUCCUCACAACUCUCCAAACGUCAAAACUUGGUUCUUUUGCUCAAAACUCUUAAAACCUUCAAAAACACAUGAAAACUCUUCAAAACCUUACAAGAUUUGAGCAAGAUCAUGAAAGUCAACUAGGGAGGCUGUUGGACUCACCUCUGGCUGAAGAUGGAAGCAAAAUAUCAUCCUUCCACCGACUUUGCACCCUUUUAUAGGUGGCUGGCCAGACCACCUUCGGCGGCGAAACGUGAAUCCGAAACCAUGCAAUGGUCGGUGGCCGAAAGUCACCUUCGGCGGCCGAACUUGCCAUUUUCUCCCUUGGCUCUUUUCUUUCAAAAACUCAUUUUCCUUUAUACUUAAAACCGCAAAACAAGUCAAAAUACCUAAGAAAACAUAUGUAUUACCCUUCUCGAGGGUUCCGACACCCGAAAUUCCACCGAACUACAGGAAUUCCGAGGCCGGACUCGAGCCGGGUAUUACAUUCUCCCCCCCCUUAAGACCAUUCAUCCCCGAAUGUUCCUCAAACAACAACACACAUAAACACAUAAACACAUAGCAAUGGGGAAAACCUAACCUUAAAACAGAUAUGGAUAUUGCUGGAGCAUGGACUCCCGUGUCUCCCAGGUGCACUCUUCUAGGAUGUGGUGGUUCCACAGGACUUUCACCAUUGGUAUCUCCUUGUUUCUCAGCUUUCGAAUCUGGGUGUCCAUGAUCCGCACUGGCUGUUCUACAUAGGUGAGAUCGCUUAAGAUUUCCACCUCAGGCUCACUAAGAACCUUCUCUGGAUCUGACACAAAUUUCCUCAACAUAGACACAUGGAAUACUGGGUGAAUUCUUUCCAUCGAUGCAGGUAAAUCCAGCUUAUACGACACAGGCCCGAUCUUCUGCAAGAUCUCAAAGGGACCUAUGUACUGUGGAGCUAAUUUACCCUUCUUUCCAAAGCGAACCACUUCCUUCAUUGGAGACACCUUUAGCAAUAUCAUAUCCCCCUCCUGGAACUCUAUCUGCUUCCUACGGAUGUCUGUAUAGCUUUUCUGCCUGCUUACAGCUGUUCUGAUCCUCUCUCUGAUCACAGGCACUAACUUGCUGGUAAUCUCAACUAACUCUGGCCCUGCAAGAGCCUUCUUUCCUACCUCUUCCCAGCAAACAGGUGUUCUGCACUUCCUCCCAUACAGAGCUUCAUAAGGAGCCAUCCCUAUGCUAGCAUGAUGGCUGUUGUUGUAGGCAAACUCCACCAGAGGUAGAUGCUGCCUCCAAGAACCGCCAAAGUCUAACACACACAUUCUCAGCAUAUCUUCUAUGGUCUGGAUGGUCCUCUCUGACUGACCGUCUGUCUGUGGAUGGAAAGCAGUGCUGAA